CUAAAAUGGCCCAAAUAUUUAUUAUAAUUUUAUACCUGAUUCCUGAACCUCAAAACCUGAUACGGUGAGGUGAGCAGUUGAGACUUGAGAGUGGCGGAGAGCAGAGAAUCAGAGAGAGGCUGAGGCGGUCCAGCUGGAGACUGGAGACUAGAGAGAGGCGGAGAGCAGAGACUAGAGAGAAAGACAAUGUUACAGAGAAAAUGAGGUCAUUGAUCAAUGGAUACUAAAUCUAUAUCUGAACCUCAUAAGUUUACGCAUGAUAUUGAGGCUCUUAACUAUGUUCUGGCUGUCCUCCGACAUAAUCUAGAAUUCCUGCGCCUGCUUUUUCACCAUGAGCUUCAUUCGAAAACUGGGAUAGACCACCAAAGGCUAUUAAUGCCAUCAACAAAACAGCUGUAGAUGCAAAGAGAGGCCAAAAGUAGGCCAGGAUGGUGAGAAGCCGAGGAGCUGCAUACAAUAGUAAGGAAAGAACUAAUGGAACAAUGGCUGCUAUGGUUAAAUGAUAUCUGUACUGCAGAAGCUUAUCUGGGAUGUCCAUGGCUUCUUGGAUUAUAACUAUAACCCCACAGAGAGAGAGAGAGAGAUUGUGAUUAUAUAUCCUUUCUUGAGGUUCUCUGUUGGGGAAUAUGGUUAUCUAUAUAUAUAUAUAUAUAUCUCUUCCUAAGGUUCUAUGCUGGAAAUGAUGGUUUCAAUAAUUUUAUAGUUUGCUUGGCCUCUACUUAUUUUCAUAGUACACAUGGUUUCCCAAAGUGUCCCCCCUUAAUUUAACUAAUUAUUCUCUGAUUUACAAAUUGAUAUGCCAAACCAAUAAGUCUCUAGACUCUAGUCUAGAGUCACAAAUUCCACCCCCCACCCCCCUCUCCAAUUUUUCACAACCAUUGAGGUGGCAAGAAAUUUGUUGUGAAAAAUAUUGUGCAUGUAGUACUGCUCAUGGCAAAGGAUCACAUGGUUAAACUAGUAAAACCAUAAAAGAUUGUCAAACUAAUGUCAUUAUAAGUUAGACCAAUUUGUAAGGGGGCAGCAAAUGCAAUCAGAUCAUGAUUUUAGUAUUCUUUUAGAAACACACACACAAGGGAGAGUCAGAAAGCAGUACAGUUGGUUCGAGUCCUCAAUGAUCAUGCCUCAUGUAACAGAAGUUACUUGUUUAAAUCAAUCCAACCCCCUUUCCUUAGCCAAAAACUCACUCAUUAAUAACAUAUAAAAAUAAAAACCUUUUUAUGCCUAGUUUUUACUCUAGUUAAUUUGUCAACAUUGAUUGCCUAGGGACAACUGCAAUUCAGAAAUUUGGAAGGGCAGAUUAGUCAUUGCAAUGGAUCUAAUGGAAUGUUUUGGAAAAGAAUUAGUUGAUCAAAGAAGAAUACAUGGAGAGUUAUCUUGGCAAAAUUGAUUCUUCUUUUGCACUUUGUUUAAUGAAAAGCCAAAAAGGAUAACUUCUUCAAGGGUUUCUGGAAAGCAAACAGUUUCUCUUUCCCAUGCCAUUGGUAGAUUCUAGUCAAGGGAUAAUAUAAUAAAAGCCUUGUAGGACAUUAUUGAUUUUUUGUUACAAAGGAGAAAGUGUAACUCUGGUCGGUUAAGAUAAUAGCCAAAAUUCUCUUCAGAUGUGCAGCCAAAUAGAUUCUUCUGUCCCAUGAAAUUAAU